rnacentral:rRNA from 1 species
UACGUAGGGGGCAAGCGUUGUCCGGAAUCAUUGGGCGUAAAGCGCGUGUAGGCGGCUGGCUAAGUCCGCUCUGAAAGCCCGGGGCUCAACCCCGGGAGGCGGGUGGAUACUGGCCAGCUCGAGUCCGGAAGAGGAGUGUGGAAUUCCUGGUGUAGCGGUGAAAUGCGCAGAUAUCAGGAGGAACACCAAUGGCGAAGGCAGCACUCUGGGACGGUACUGACGCUGAGACGCGAAAGCGUGGGGAGCGAACAGG